rnacentral:rRNA from 1 species
CCCUUAGAUGUCCGGGGCCGCACGCGCGCUACACUGAUGCAUUCAACGAGUCUAAAACCUGCUCUGAUAGGGGUGGGUAAUCUUUUGAAUGUGCAUCGUGAUUGGGAUAGAUGAUUGAAAUUUUUCAUCUUCAACGAGGAAUGCCUAGUAAACGCAAGUCAUCAGCUUGCAUUGAUUACGUCCCUGCCCUUUGUACACACCGCCCGUCGCUCCUACCGAUUGAAUGAUCCGAUGAAUAUCAUGGAUUGAGGAUGCAAGUAGGUUCACCUAUCUUCAUCUUCGAGAAGUGAAGUAAAUCUUAUCAUUUAGAGGAAGGAGAAGUCGUAACA